AACAUAGGUUCGGGGUGCGCAUAAGCGCUGAGAUUAUACCCGUUGAACCUGAUCUAGUUAGUACUAGCGAAGGGAAAAUCAUGACUACUGUGU
rfam:Gardnerella vaginalis ATCC 14019, complete genome.